UCUUUCUUGUUUACGGUUUGAGUCCAUGGCUCGACUCUCUUCUUGUCGUAGUGGUCCCUGUCGUCCGGGAUGGCCUCCUCGAGUGCGUGGAGCUGCUGCUGGUCGUCGUCCUCCUGCAUCGUCUGGUGUUUCUGCUCAGUCUGUGGGUGUGCUGGAGAAUUCCAUCCCUUCUGUGCUGGUGGUGCGAUGCCGUACGUGGCCAUUCUGGGUCUCCGUCUUUGGUGUCCGAGUCUGUUCUUGGUGGUCAUUCCAUCCGACGGAGGGAGGAGAUUCGGCCGACGUUGUCCGCGACGUAUGCCUAUGUGUGCUCAGUCAGGUUCUCCGGCGAGGGUGAGGCCGAUGCCGCCGCGACGGAGUAUAGGAGGUGACCGAACUCCUCCUCGCGGGGCGGGGCAAAGGACUGGACUGGACGUGGGGGGAGCGUAGGACAAUCUCGACGGUGGAUAUCUUCCAAAGCUGUCGCCAUGCGUCGUGGUAGGACGCGGCGAUUAGGGCAAGGCCAACGCUACAGCGUGGACGGCUGCCACAGCUAUCCACGUCGGCUCGGGUGGUCCCAAAUGGCUUGAGGUGCUGCCUGCAGACCAAAGCGGGUGCCUGCAGAGGAGGCCGACUCCUACUUGACCAAAGUAGCAAAAAGGAGAGAGGGAGGAAGAAAAGUAGAGAAAGUUGAGCUUGCAUGGGUAUAAACACAGGCAAACUCUCUCUCCAUGCGAUGAAAAAGAGAGACUGUGACCCCCGUGAGGCAGCCUAAUGCAUUGGGUGUUUGUUUUUUAAUAUUAUUGCUUCAUCAUACUUUAUCUAGGUGGAGAGGA